rnacentral:rRNA from 1 species
UACAGAGGGUGCUAGCGUUAAUCGGAUUUACUGGGCGUAAAGCGUGUGUAGGCGGUUUGUUAAGUCGGGUGUGAAAUCCCUGGGCUCAACCUGGGAAUUGCAUUCGAUACUGGCAAGCUAGAGUACGGUAGAGGGCGGCGGAAUUCCGGGUGUAGCGGUGAAAUGCGUAGAUAUCCGGAGGAACACCGAUGGCGAAGGCAACCGCCUGGGCCUGUACUGACGCUGAGACACGAAAGCGUGGGAGCAACAGG